CUGCGUGCAAGCACGUGCUUGUUUGUGUUUAUAAGUGUGGGUGUGCGCGCUUGUGUGUCUGCGUGUUAGUGAGUGCGUAUAUGCGUGCGAGUGCGCUUUGUGUGUGCGCGUGUGUAUUGCAUACGGUCGGUAGUUUUACACGCAAUAAACCUCAUCAAUAUUGGUGCAGCGGCUGUCCCAUGCCCUGAAAACCAAGUUUGGUUUCGAGCCAUCCCGGAAGACUGCAAUAGGAGGCGCCGUUUCUCGGGAGGACCAGUGGGAAAGCGUCAGGUCAUCGAGGUGACAGCAGCAGUCUCACAAUGCCCAGCCUUUGCGCUCUCCAUCAGAAAGCCAUCAGGGGCAAACCACUUAUGUUUGCCUUCAGACAAGUGGUUGAUGUCAUGUUCAACGCUGUUGUGAAGACAACAUUGAAGCAAGAUUCCAGCAUAGCCAUGCGCUGCACACUCAGACAAUGGAGUCCCUGUUCCUCGUGGUUAACCUUGAAUAGUAUUCUCGCUUUUAUGAAAGCUAAAGGUGAUUUGCUGCAUAAAUUAACAUGUUUACAGCUCAAACGUACACACAUUCUUUCUAAUUUUGAAACAACGAAUAUACCCUGUUAAAUAUUAUUCUACUGUUUGAUGCAAUCAUUUCUUGCUGGAGAAUAUUAAGUGUGAUGUUGAACUUGUACUUAUUGAUGACUGGCUAUUGCAUGACUGCCUGUGUUUAAAAAAUGUGAACUCACACAUUUGAAGCUUCAUUCAGUAACCAGAGUAUUGUAUGGCUGAUUUAAUAAACAUUAUUUGCUCAUUUAUGUACUCAGAUGCUACAAGCCAUAAUCUUGCAUUACCGCACCGAGUACAAAUAAUUUAAAAAUUGGCAAUGUAUUUUAACUCGCUUCAUCCACCUGUUGUAGCCAGCAGAGUACAUUAAUGAACAGUGGCUUGUUUUUAUAGGGUCCCCAUUGAUACUUCUCUUUCCACCUAAACAGUAGUAAAUGUGGAAUAUUUCGGCUUUUGCUUUUGCAGUAGAAAACGAGCGCAU
rnacentral:lncRNA from 1 species